GUGGGGUACGGGGAUAUGACCCCCAAAACCUACCUCGGCAUGUUGGUGGGAUCAGUCUGUGCCCUAACUGGAGUUUUAACUAUCGCACUACCCGUUCCUGUGAUCGUCAGCAAU
rfam:Helobdella robusta unplaced genomic scaffold HELROscaffold_37, whole genome shotgun sequence.